UCCUCAAUUUUUAAGAAAAAGUAUAGGGUAUCAACAUAUUAUCUGUCAAUUUAUUAUCAACAAUAAUUAUUUAUUAUAUUUUAAACACAUAUAUAAAGAGAUACAUCCA